GUGUUGUCUUAGCAUGAUAAAUGAAACCAAAAAAAAUGCACCUUAGAGCUAUUGUUAGAUUAACAACUACCAAAACAAAAAAGUUGUAGCUUCUUAUUUUUAACAUUUAAAAAUCUCCCUAUUCAAAGGUUGGUCGUAGCUGGUGCCUUCAUUUGUAAUUGGUGUAAGUUAACCUCCUCUAGUCUGUAUUUGUUCAUUAUUGAUAUUAAGAAAAUCUGGAAAAUUGAAAUCUUUAAGGUUAUACAUCUACACAUCACAGCCACACAUUUUUCAUAUGGGUUCAUGUUUCUGAAACGUUUUUUGUGUGCACAGAUGCAUACUUUUUUAUCUUGUUUAUACAACACUAAAAAAAAAGAAGCAUACUUUUUCUCAUGUUAAACAAAGCACAGGUACGAAAUUUUGAAAACAUUUUUUUACAGAAGUUGGAUAAAACAAAUGUAUGAUUUACAAGAUAAAA
rnacentral:lncRNA from 1 species